UGGGGAAUAUUGCACAAUGGGCGCAAGCCUGAUGCAGCAACGCCGCGUGAGGGACGACGGCCUUCGGGUUGUAAACCUCUUUUAGUAGGGAAGAAGCGAAAGUGACGGUACCUGCAGAAAAAGCACCGGCUAACUACGUGCCAGCAGCCGCGGUAAUACGUAGGGUGCGAGCGUUGUCCGGAAUUAUUGGGCGUAAAGAGCUCGUAGGCGGUCUGUCGCGUCUGCUGUGAAAACCCGAGGCUCAACCUCGGGCCCUGCAGUGGGUACGGGCAGACUAGAGUGCGGUAGGGGAGAAUGGAAUUCCUGGUGUAGCGGUGGAAUGCGCAGAUAUCAGGAGGAACACCGAUGGCGAAGGCAGUUCUCUGGGCCGUAACUGACGCUGAGGAGCGAAAGCGUGGGGAGCGAACAGGAUUAGAUACCCUGGUAGUCCACGCCGUAAACGUUGGGCGCUAGAUGUGGGGACCAUUCCACGGUUUCCGUGUCGCAGCUAACGCAUUAAGCGCCCCGCCUGGGGAGUACGGCCGCAAGGC
rnacentral:rRNA from 1 species